CCGCAAGGCCUGGUACAGCUGGAUAGUAUUAUUUUCAAAACUAAUUCAACUGCACAUGCAAAGGUAAUAUAAAUCUGAAUAGUCACUCAACUUUAAAAAUAGCUAAUCCCGGAUACAAGUGUACGAGCAAUGUACUUAUUGUGUUUUAUUUGUGUGCUAUCAAUUCCAAGUUUACUUUCCACAGCAGUCACUGAGAGAGAGAGAGAGAAGGUAUUUCACUUCAUAGUUCGAGAUUACUCUGAUGUCCGACGGCUGAUUUGCCAGACAAGCUGGGACCGUGGGGGACUUUUAUGCUAGUAUACUUAAAUUACAAACUUAAAUAGUCCCAGUCCCAUAUAUUAUAUCAAGUAUUAUUGGAUGCCGAAUUGAAUUUUAAAUAGGUGCCGAUUUGACUAGAUGCCGAUUUAACCAGGUGCCGAUUUGACUUUUUCUAUGGGUGCCGAUUUGACUUGUACCCAGUAAUCUCGGGACUAUUCACUUCGUAUCUUAUCACCGUUAAUUCUAGGAGGAACCCCAUUUCCCAGUCCCAUAUAUUAUAUCAAAUAUUAUUGGAUGCCGAAUUGACUUUUAAAUAGGUGCCGAUUUGACUAGAUGCCGAUUUAACCAGGUGCCGAUUUGACUUGUACCCAGUAAUCUCGGACUAUUCACUUCGUAUCUUAUCACCGUUAAUUCUAGGAGGAACCCCAUUUCUAACUCUUUAAUUAUUAAUUUCCUUUGGGUCAGUGGGCAUGAAUCCUUCCGUACACACUCCUCUGUUUAAAUUGAGAUCGUUCUUAAUAUAAUACGACGUUUAUCGACAUCUAACGAGUUAAUUUUUUCUUGACGAUUUUGACGGGAAAUACUUCUGAAAGGGAGACAACUCGAAACGAUAAUAUGGAAGACUCCAUUUCGGCUAAAGGGGUGUUAUAGGUAAAACUUCAUUGAUUUUAAUUUAAAUGAUGCAUAUGAUUUUAAAUUAUGCAACAACAAUAUUAAACCCUCAAUAGCAGGCAGACAUAGAAAGAAUCCAAUGAGUUUCAAAUUAAUUAAUAAGCGGGGAAUCCAGAACAACCACUCAAUCUGAUACCCCUUGAAAUCAAGAAAACUAUACGCAUGCGCAUUAAUACAUAAACAAACCCGCGACUUGCGAUUUGGAACAAGAACGUUUAUUUAAUUUAUGAUAUGAUGAAUGAGUCUCAAUUUCUUUAUGAGAGUACAGUAUCAGUUUCAUAACGGUAAAAUAUAGAAAAACUCCACUUCAGUUCUUAUAUGACAGAAAUAGAAUUAUCGGAAUUCAAAGAACUCUCGCAUUUAUCAAAACUGGGGAAUUCCCUCUGACGUGUUUCUAAAUUUAUAAAAACACUAAAUAUAAAUACUGCUUAAUUCUGAUUUUCCGUGUUGUUAAAAACACGCAUAUAAGUCAAGGGAAAAAUCAAACAUGAAGAUUAUGAGAAGAACAUUACAGGAAAGUUGUUUAUGUUCAAUCCUUUUGCUUGUUUUUACCUUUUAAAGCAAGACAAUCAUAAGAAUCUGAGAUGUUGCUGAAUGUUUAGAAUAAAACGGUUGACGUGAGGGAAUGAGCCCUGAGUCAACGGUAAAAGUCUACAGAUUGCUUGAAAGCAAUCGUAUCCCAAAAAUGUA
rnacentral:lncRNA from 1 species